rnacentral:rRNA from 1 species
UACGAAGGGGGCUAGCGUUGUUCGGAAUUAUUGGGCGUAAAGAGCUCGUAGGCGGUCUGUCGCGUCGGCUGUGAAAACCCGGGGCUCAACUCCGGGCCUGCAGUCGAUACGGGCAGACUAGAGUUCGGUAGGGGAGACUGGAAUUCCUGGUGUAGCGGUGAAAUGCGUAGAGAUCGGCAGGAACACCCAAGGGGAAGCCAGCUGGCUGGGCAUUUGCUGACGCUCAUGUGCGACAGCGUGGGGAGCGAACUGG